rnacentral:misc_RNA from 1 species
UCUCCGUUGGUGAACCAGCGGAGGGAUCAUUACCGAGUUUACAACUCCCAAACCCCUAUGUGAACGUUACCAAACUGUUGCCUCGGCGGGAAAUUCAUGCCCCGGGCGCGUCGCAGCCCCGGACCAAGGCGCCCGCCGGAGGACCAACCAAAACUCUUUUGUAUGUCCCUCGCGGACUUUUAUAAUUCUGAACCAUCUCGGCGCCCCUAGCGGGCGUUUCGAAAAUGAAUCAAAACUUUCAACAACGGGUCUCUUGGUUCUG